rnacentral:rRNA from 1 species
UGGGGGAUAUUGCACAAUGGGCGAAAGCCUGAUGCAGCGACGCCGCGUGGGGGAUGAAGGCCUUCGGGUUGUAAACUUCUUUUGCUCUGAACAAGGCAUGCUAAUGGGUGUGUUGAGUGUAGGGGUUGAUUAGCGCCGGCUAACUACGUGCCAGCAGCCGCGGUAAUACGUAGGGCGCGAGCGUUGUCCGGAAUUAUUGGGCGUAAAGGGCUUGUAGGUGGCUGGUUGCGUCUGUCGUGAAAGCACAUGGCUUAACUGUGGGUUUGCGGUGGGUACGGGCUGGCUUGAGUGCAGUAGUGGAGGCUGGAAUUCCUGGUGUAGCGGUGGAAUGCGCAGAUAUCAGGAGGAGUACCGGUGGCGAAGGCGGGUCUCUGGGCUGUUACUGACACUGAGGAGCGAAAGCAUGGGGAGCGAACAGG